UGCAGUCGAGGGAGANNCGUUUUUCGGAAUGAUGGAAACCGGCGNNNNNNNNNNNACGCGUACACUACCUACCUUAUACUGGGGAAUNNNCUCUGGAAACGGAGAGUAAUACCCCAUAGUUCAUGCCUUGUGCAUGAUAAAGCUCCGGCGGUAUAAGAUGGGUGUGCGUCUGAUUAGCUAGUUGGUAGGGUAAAGGCCUACCAAGGCGACGAUCAGUAGGGGCGUGAGAGCGUGAUCCCCCACACGGGUACUGAGACACGGACCCGACUCCUACGGGAGGCAGCAGUAAGGAAUAUUGGACAAUGGGCGAAAGCCUGAUCCAGCCAUCCCGCGUGCAGGAUGAAGGCCCUACGGGUUGUAAACUGCUUUUGUUUGGGAAGAAACGCCUUGAUUUAUCGGGGCCUGACGGUACCAUUCGAAUAAGCACCGGCUAACUCCGUGCCAGCAGCCGCGGUAAUACGGAGGGUGCAAGCGUUAUCCGGAAUCACUGNGUUUAAAGGGUGCGUAGGCGGCGUUAUAAGUCCGAGGUGAAAGCUUGCAGCUUAACUGUAAA
rnacentral:rRNA from 1 species